rnacentral:rRNA from 1 species
GACGAACGCUGGCGGCGUGCCUAAUACAUGCAAGUAGAACGCUGAAGAGAGGAGCUUGCUCUUCUUGGAUGAGUUGCGAACGGGUGAGUAACGCGUAGGUAACCUGCCUUGUAGCGGGGGAUAACUAUUGGAAACGAUAGCUAAUACCGCAUAACAAUAGGUGACACAUGUCAUUUAUUUGAAAGGGGCAAUUGCUCCACUACAAGAUGGACCUGCGUUGUAUUAGCUAGUAGGUGAGGUAACGGCUCACCUAGGCGACGAUACAUAGCCGACCUGAGAGGGUGAUCGGCCACACUGGGACUGAGACACGGCCCAGACUCCUACGGGAGGCAGCAGUAGGGAAUCUUCGGCAAUGGGGGCAACCCUGACCGAGCAACGCCGCGUGAGUGAAGAAGGUUUUCGGAUCGUAAAGCUCUGUUGUAAGUCAAGAACGAGUGUGAGAGUGGAAAGUUCACACUGUGACGGUAGCUUACCAGAAAGGGACGGCUAACUACGUGCCAGCAGCCGCGGUAAUACGUAGGUCCCGAGCGUUGUCCGGAUUUAUUGGGCGUAAAGCGAGCGCAGGCGGUUUGAUAAGUCUGAAGUUAAAGGCUGUGGCUCAACCAUAGUUCGCUUUGGAAACUGUCAAACUUGAGUGCAGAAGGGGAGAGUGGAAUUCCAUGUGUAGCGGUGAAAUGCGUAGAUAUAUGGAGGAACACCGGUGGCGAAAGCGGCUCUCUGGUCUGUAACUGACGCUGAGGCUCGAAAGCGUGGGGAGCGAACCGGAUUAGAUACCCUGGUAGUCCACGCCGUAAACGAUGAGUGCUAGGUGUUGGAUCCUUUCCGGGAUUCAGUGCCGCAGCUAACGCAUUAAGCACUCCGCCUGGGGAGUACGACCGCAAGGUUGAAACUCAAAGGAAUUGACGGGGGCCCGCACAAGCGGUGGAGCAUGUGGUUUAAUUCGAAGCAACGCGAAGAACCUUACCAGGUCUUGACAUCCCGAUGCUAUUUCUAGAGAUAGAAAGUUACUUCGGUACAUCGGUGACAGGUGGUGCAUGGUUGUCGUCAGCUCGUGUCGUGAGAUGUUGGGUUAAGUCCCGCAACGAGCGCAACCCCUAUUGUUAGUUGCCAUCAUUCAGUUGGGCACUCUAGCGAGACUGCCGGUAAUAAACCGGAGGAAGGUGGGGAUGACGUCAAAUCAUCAUGCCCCUUAUGACCUGGGCUACACACGUGCUACAAUGGUUGGUACAACGAGUUGCGAGUCGGUGACGGCAAGCUAAUCUCUUAAAGCCAAUCUCAGUUCGGAUUGUAGGCUGCAACUCGCCUACAUGAAGUCGGAAUCGCUAGUAAUCGCGGAUCAGCACGCCGCGGUGAAUACGUUCCCGGGCCU